GGCCUUCUGAAUCCGUGCAAAUACUUCGUCGGACACCAACUCAUCAGUACUGAUGAGACUCCCAAGAUAAGUGAAGCA
rnacentral:pre_miRNA from 1 species